rnacentral:snRNA from 1 species
GGAUGUGAGAGCAAUCUGGAUGCAGCGUCUGUCACCCCAUUGAUUGCCAGGGUUGAUGUGACUAAUCUGACUGGCUUGGUGGGGGGGUGUCCCCCUCUUCCUCAACAACCCAUGCACACCCUUCCAGAACUGAGACCUUUUUUUUGAGACAUGGUUUCUCUGUAGCUUUGGAGGCUGUCCUGGAGCUCUGUAGACCAGGCUGACCUCAAACUCACAGAGAUCCGCCUGCCUCUGCCUCCUGAGUGCUGGGAUCAAAGGCGUGCAGCACUGCCCAGCCAGAACUGAGCCAACCAUAUACAUGUAGCUUCACUUUCCAGCUAGAACCUCCAGACAAGUUCUCAGAAUACAAGCUCUCUAUUCUAAAAUAGAGCCAUCAUCUUACACUUAGAUUUUUGUGUGUUUCUUGCAAAUUUU